UACAGAGGUCUCAAGCGUUUGUUCGGAUUCAUUGGGCGUAAAGGGUGCGUAGGUGGCGCGCUAAGUCAGGUGUGAAAUUUCGGAGCUUAACUCCGAAACUGCAUUUGAUACAGCACAUCUUGAGUCCGAUAGAGGUGGGUGGAAUUCCUAGUGUAGAGGUGAAAUUUCGUAGAUAUUAGGAAGAACACCGGUGGCGAAGGCGGCC
rnacentral:rRNA from 1 species